GGAAGUAAAAGCGUAACAAGGUUUCCGUAGGUGAACCUGCGGAAGGAUCAUUAUUGUAUAACCGAGGUGCGAGGGCUGUCGCUGACCCGAAAGGUCGUGCACGCCCGAGUGCCCUCACACACAUCCAUCUCACCCCUAUGUGCACCACCGCGUGGGUCCCCCUUUGGCUUGUUCGGAGGGGGGCUUACGUUUUCACACAAACUUUGUAUGCAGUGUAGAAUGUAUUUUUUGUUUUUGCGAUCACGCAAUCAAUACAACCUUCAACAACGGAUCUCUUGGCUCUC
rnacentral:misc_RNA from 1 species